rnacentral:rRNA from 1 species
CCGGUAGCCCCACUAGUCUGGGAUACCACUUGGAAACAGGUGCUAAUACCGGAUAAGAAAGCAGAUCGCAUGAUCAGCUUUUAAAAGGCGGCGUAAGCUGUCGCUAUGGGAUGGCCCCGCGGUGCAUUAGCUAGUUGGUAAGGUGAAGGCUUACCAAGGCGAUGAUGCAUAGCCGAGUUGAGAGACUGAUCGGCCACAUUGGGACUGAGACACGGCCCAA